rnacentral:rRNA from 1 species
GCUGGAUACGAGUUAUCUGAACCUUCGGGGAACGAUAACGGCGUCGAGCGGCGGACGGGUGAGUAAUGCCUAGGAAAUUGCCCUGAUGUGGGGGAUAACCAUUGGAAACGAUGGCUAAUACCGCAUGAUGCCUACGGGCCAAAGAGGGGGACCUUCGGGCCUCUCGCGUCAGGAUAUGCCUAGGUGGGAUUAGCUAGUUGGUGAGGUAAGGGCUCACCAAGGCGACGAUCCCUAGCUGGUCUGAGAGGAUGAUCAGCCACACUGGAACUGAGACACGGUCCAGACUCCUACGGGAGGCAGCAGUGGGGAAUAUUGCACAAUGGGCGCAAGCCUGAUGCAGCCAUGCCGCGUGUGUGAAGAAGGCCUUCGGGUUGUAAAGUACUUUCAGUCGUGAGGAAGGCGGUGUCGUUAAUAGCUGCAUUGUUUGACGUUAGCGACAGAAGAAGCACCGGCUAACUCCGUGCCAGCAGCCGCGGUAAUACGGAGGGUGCGAGCGUUAAUCGGAAUUACUGGGCGUAAAGCGCAUGCAGGUGGUUUGUUAAGUCAGAUGUGAAAGCCCGGGGCUCAACCUCGGAAUAGCAUUUGAAACUGGCAGACUAGAGUACUGUAGAGGGGGGUAGAAUUUCAGGUGUAGCGGUGAAAUGCGUAGAGAUCUGAAGGAAUACCGGUGGCGAAGGCGGCCCCCUGGACAGAUACUGACACUCAGAUGCGAAAGCGUGGGGAGCAAACAGGAUUAGAUACCCUGGUAGUCCACGCCGUAAACGAUGUCUACUUGGAGGUUGUGGCCUUGAGCCGUGGCUUUCGGAGCUAACGCGUUAAGUAGACCGCCUGGGGAGUACGGUCGCAAGAUUAAAACUCAAAUGAAUUGACGGGGGCCCGCACAAGCGGUGGAGCAUGUGGUUUAAUUCGAUGCAACGCGAAAAACCUUACCUACUCUUGACAUCCAGAAAACUUUUCCCAGAAUGGAUUGGUGGCCUUCGGGAAAUCUUAAAAAGGUGCUG